CCAGACUCAUGGGUAAUCUACCUGGCUCGGUGCAGCAGCUAUCUGUGGGUGGAGCUUCCACAUAUGAGUUGACCAGGUUCUUGCUCCAUGUCAAAGUUAUGGGGUGUAAGCAACGUCCGGAUUACCAGAAGCUGAGAAAGCUGCUGUCCGAGGGGGGACAGAGAGCUAGCAGAGGCCAGAGAAGGCUGGACCGGUCUGGGCCACGAGGAUAGGUGUCACGGCGUUUCUCCACCAGAGGGUCUGAUGGCCCGGGUAAGAAAGCGGGCCAAGCUAGAGGCUUGUCCAAACCAAAGCCUGUAUAUGUGGAGGAUGAGACCCAGACCUGUGCCGUCUCAAUACAUCAGAGGUCCACCCAUAUCCAAGCCCAGCCAGGACAGGUGAUGAGGCCAAGGCUGCUUGUAUUGUAAUAUUGACAGGAUUCACUACAUUUGACUAUAAUGCUGUUACAAACUGGUUUUACAAGAAUGGACAAAAUGACCAGAAAAUCUACUGUGACUCCCAAGUGGUAAUGCAUAUUGGAGUUGUAUCAAAGAAAGGUUAACUCCAAAGAAAAAUCACAAGAAUAUAUUUUUAUUGCCAUAUAAAAGAAAUGGACAAUAAUCACAACAUUCAAUCGCUGCGACAAGAGUUCAGGUCAAUGGCAGAAACUGGAGCAAAUGUUUGAAUGAUCCUCACAGAAAACAUCAACACAAACCAAACGGCGCGUAAGGAAAAUAGUUGUUGACAAUGGCGUAGCUGUGACCACAAAUCAACCAUAGACCGUCCUACCCGAGAAAAAGUAGAACCCCUACAAAAAGCAAACUGGGUCAAACACAUAAUGACCAGUGGGAAGACCACGGCAGGUAGCCUAGUGAGGCGUCAGGUAGACUCUUUGGGCCAGUGUCAUGACGUGACCCUUUCUGGGUGUAGAUCGUGGCUUCCCCCUCUCUCACACCAAUGUUCUGUUAUCUCAGGCCAUAAAUUCCAAAGUUAUUAUCGGUAACGAAAACAACUGUGACUGCGAUGCAGGUAACAGACGGAUUAUGUGAACACAUGUGUGCAGGAUGAGAGAUGAGCAAAUGUCUGCAGACUUGAACUGCACAAGCAAUUGGGAAGUGUUUGGGGAAUUUUGUCCGGGUCAGAAAUGUCUAAAAAAUGUAUUGGUCCGAAAAAGUAAAAAUUACUACUUUUAUGUGAAUGAAUGAGGUUGAACACACCUCAAAUCAAACUGUUCUUAGAAGAAGAAAAAAACAGUCUGCGUGCCUUGGUUUGAGGGCAACGCGGAUUAAAUGUUCUGUUGCGUAACAAUCACAUUCUGGAAUGGAGAGGACGUUCUAACAUCACGUGCAUAAAGAAACUCACGUUGGGGCGACCGUUAGAGAUAUUCGGAACUCACGCAUGAAACGGUUAAAAUCAUCUUUGCAGGGUCCAACAUUUUCCAAAACCAAACUUUGGAAAAAUAGGAAAAACAUUUUCCCCUUUCAAAUGUUCUAAUAAAUGUGCAAGCUAUCAGAGGGGGCAGUCCCCACUCGCCCGCAAAUUAGUGAACCUCCACCCAUAAAUGGAUUGAUCGCUGACCUCAGCAUCGAUUUCAACCCUAUUUAUGCCAUUAGCAGAAAAACAGCAGACAUUGCAAACAACGCUCUCCAAAAUAAACCAUUGGGCACAGGCCUUGUGAAGGUUCUCUCCAGUCUAGCCCUGACGUCUUGCCAUCCGAGAUUGGCAUCAUUCCAAUACUGCAGUGCACAGCUGACGCACGAGCAGGUAAUCGCCUUCUUCAGGAACAACUUGAUUUAGCCAAAACUAAAUACGAUGUAGUCCACGCCAAACUCGAUAAAUCUGACGAGUUAUCAACAAACGGGUGCGCUCAACUUGAUAACAUGCAUGCAGUUUUGUUGAACGUUACUCAAAGUAACAAUGUUCUAGUCAACAUGCUGCAGACCAAAGUCGAUCAGUUAAUGAACACAAUGACUAAGUUGGAUGACAGGUCAGCAGAAGUCAUUGAAGUCACUGACCAAAUGAGUGAUGAGAACUCUAUCUGCAAACCAUGACAGAUAAGUUUGAGACCGAAAGGAGCAAGUGCGACUCUACCGUGUCCAACAUCAGUACGCUAAGCGCUCAAGUGGACUCUUCUAUGCAGCAGAAUACCACCCUUAGGUACAGUCUGGUGGAAUUCCAGAACGAUCACGUACUACAGUGUGACUUCCCAACCAAGCAAACGGAGCCCGACACUCAAAGAAGUGAAGACGAUAGGUUUCAGACUUUUCCUCCCUCCUGUGUCCCUCAGUCUUCUCCUCUUGGCCAUUCGGCACUGAGCAAUAUGGUGCCUCUUCGCCAACAAAGCCAAAGCUUGGCUUCUCCUCUUGGCCUUUCAGCCCCAAUUUCCCCACAAGAUGAAGCCAACCCUCUCCACCCGCUUGGCGUGGAAUACCUUGACACACUCAAAGAUUUCCCCACCUUUGACCCCACUCCAGGUCAGCCAAACGAUACUGAGACGUUCCUAGCUGACAUAGAGGACGCAUUGGAUGGCUACCCAAACGCUAUGGUUCUGACAGGGUUUAGAUGUUGAAGCAAACGUCGAAUAGACACGUUGUAACGGCUCUCGUCGGAAUGAGUGGACCAAAGUGCAGCGUGGAAAGUGUUCAUGAUUUUGUUGAUCAAAGAAACACUCGAACAAAGUAACAAAGCGAACAGUUCUGUCAGGUAAACAGAUACUAACCAGAAAAUAACUACCCACAAAACACAGGUGGGAAAAAGGCUGCCUAAGUAUGAUUCCCAAUCAAAGACAACAAUAGACAGCUGCCUCUGAUUGGGAACCACACUCGACCAAAAACAAAGAAAUAGAAAACAUAGAAUGCCCACCCUAAUCACACCCUGACCAAACCAAAUAGAGAAAUAAAAAGGCUCUCUAAGGUCAGGGCGUGACACACGUGAUGAGGUUAAUUAGUCUACAACAGAAACACGUUUUAAUGACUCCAACCUAAGUGUAUGUAAACUUCCGACUUCAACUGUAUAUAUAUACUUUUUAUGUGUUUUUUGUGUGUCAUGACUGGAGUGUGACAAUACAUUAGAUGGAGCGAGUCGAUUUCCUGAGGCUCAUGUGAAACCAGUGUUUCUGGGUGGACAUUUUCACUGUGAUGGGCUGCAAACCACAAAAAGCAAAUAAAGUCAUUUUUUUAACAUGGA